rnacentral:misc_RNA from 1 species
AAGACUAUAGACCUGCGGAGUACCUGCGGAAGGAUCAUUACAGAGUUAUCCAACUCCCAAACCCAUGUGAACUUAUCUCUUUGUUGCCUCGGCGCAAGCUACCCGGGACCCCGCGCCCCGGGCGGCCCGCCGGCGGACAAACCAAAACUCUUGUUAUCUUAGUUGAUUCUCUGAGCGUCUUAUUUAAUAAGUCAAAACUUUUAGCAACGGAUCUCU